rnacentral:rRNA from 1 species
UACGAGGGGGGCAAAUGUUGUUCGGAAUCACUGGACGUAAAGGGAGCGUAGGCGGGUUCUUAAGUAAGGUGUUUAAUCCCGGGGCCCAACCCCGGACCGGCACUUUAAACUGGGAAUCUUGAAUAGUGGAGAGGUCGGUGGAAUUGGGGGUGUAGCGGUGGAAUGCGUAGAGAUCCCCAAGAACACCAGUUGCGAAGGCGGCCGACUGGACACAUAUUGACGCUGAGGCUCGAAAGCAUGGGGAGCAAACAGG